AGAACGAACGCUGGCGGCAGGCCUAACACAUGCAAGUCGAACGCUCGUAGCAAUACGGGAGUGGCGCACGGGUGAGUAACGCGUGGGCACCUGCCCGGUGGUUUGGGAUAACCGUGGGAAACUGCGGCUAAUACCGGAUACGCCCCUCGGGGGAAAGAUUUAUCGCCAUCGGAUGGGCCCGCGUAGGAUUAGCUAGUUGGUGAGGUAACGGCUCACCAAGGCGACGAUCCUUAGCUGGUCUGAGAGGAUGAUCAGCCACACUGGGACUGAGACACGGCCCAGACUCCUACGGGAGGCAGCAGUGGGGAAUAUGGACAAUGGGGGCAACCCUGAUCCAGCCAUGCCGCGUGAGUGAAGAAGGCCUUCGGGUUGUAAAGCUCUUUUGGCGGGGUACGAUGAUGACGGUACCCGCAGAAUAAGCCCCGGCUAACUUCGUGCCAGCAGCCGC
rnacentral:rRNA from 1 species